GACGAACGCUGGCGGCGUGCUUAACACAUGCAAGUCGAACGGAAAGGCCCUGCUUUUGUGGGGUGCUCGAGUGGCGAACGGGUGAGUAACACGUGAGUAACCUGCCCUUGACUUUGGGAUAACUUCAGGAAACUGGGGCUAAUACCGGAUAGGAGCUCCUGCUGCAUGGCGGGGGUUGGAAAGUUUCGGCGGUUGGGGAUGGACUCGCGGCUUAUCAGCUUGUUGGUGGGGUAGUGGCUUACCAAGGCUUUGACGGGUAGCCGGCCUGAGAGGGUGACCGGCCACAUUGGGACUGAGAUACGGCCCAGACUCCUACGGGAGGCAGCAGUGGGGAAUAUUGAACAAUGGGCGGAAGCCUGAUGCAGCAACGCCGCGUGCGGGAUGACGGCCUUCGGGUUGUAAACCGCUUUCGCCUGUGACGAAGCGUGAGUGACGGUAAUGGGUAAAGAAGCACCGGCUAACUACGUG
rnacentral:rRNA from 1 species